rnacentral:rRNA from 1 species
UGAGGGAUAUUGGUCAAUGGGCGCAAGCCUGAACCAGCGACGCCGCGUGGGUGAAGAAGGUCUUCGAAUCGUAAAGCCCUUUUCCCACUGAAGAGGAAGGACGGUAGGUGGGGAAGAAGUCUCGGCUAACUACGUGCCAGCAGCCGCGGUAAAACGUAGGAGACAAGCGUUAUCCGGAGUUACUGGGCGUAAAGGGCGUGCAGGUGGCGUCUUAAGUCUGUUGUGAAAGCGCCUGGCUUAACCGGGCGAGGCCAAUGGAGACUGAGAGGCUGGAGGACGGCGGAGNGGUGUGGAAUUCCGGGUGUAGUGGUGAAAUGCGUAGAGAUCCGGAGGAACACCAGAGGCGAAGGCGGAACUCUAAGCCGUACCUGACACUGAGACGCGACAGCACGGGGAGCAAACG